rfam:Myotis brandtii contig298086, whole genome shotgun sequence.
GGUGGUUCUCGGGUGACACCCUGGAAUCAGGCUCCCACCUCUCUGGUUCUGGGUGUGUCACCUGAGAACCGCA